rnacentral:lncRNA from 1 species
GAAGUAGGAAAUACCCCUGCCAAAUUUAAGGAUGACAUCAAACCAGUGCCAUACAGAAGGUCCUGAACAGACUGAAUGAAUGAACCUUGUGAAACCAAGCAAUUUCAAAUGCCAAGUACUCGAGGGAAGGAGAAGCCCCUGCAAUGUUGUGUUAGGCACAGCACUGCUAACUGGUCAAUGAAAAUGGCUCUCCUGGACUCUGGGUAUGUGUACAGAAUGAGUAUGAGAGGCUGGAGAGCAGCUCCAAGGGAAGAGAUCUGGGGGUUCUGAGUGAUGAAAGUUGAACAAAAAUCAGCAGUGAGCCCUGGACAGCCAAAAGGGCCAAGCACAUCUUGAGCCAGUGUAGUUGAGUCAGAAGGUUCAACUUCUACUACCAUACCACUGCCUGCUUCUGACAUCAUGGGCAACAUGACAAAAUAGGAGGUUAAUAUCAUUUAAAAAUAAUGCAGGAGAUAUUUAAAGCACAUCAGAAGUACAGAGGACUCUUUUUGCAAGUUGAUACCUUCAAAGAAUCCCAAAUCCCUCAAAAGUGAAUUAUAUGGUAUAAAUAAGGUCAGAUAAGAGGCAAUAAAGACUGGUUUUAAUCAUUUAGGAAGAACAGUGUCAGAUGAAGAAAGAAAAAGAUGUGUUAUCUACACAUAUGAAAGACUCAAAUAAAUAAGGAAAUACCUUCAGGAAGCAAUAAGAAGGAUGACACAUACAUGCAGAAAGAUAAGAAGAUGGAUAAAUGGAAGUUCAUACCAAGCAGUGAUACGCUCAGGUUGCUAUUAUGGAUGGUCCUGCUUCAGCACAAGUGAAACAAACAAAACAAUAGCAACCAAAAACACAUAGAGAAAUCCAAACAUCUCUGUGGAGAAAAUGACCAGAUUGACAGUUUUUAGGUAAUAGGAGUCCUGAAUAAUGGGGAGUCACAGAAAAACGUCAUGAUCUUCUGUUAAUUUUAUAAUGAAACAGAAUGAUAGUAGGUUAUGUUAUGUUUGGAAGGCUUUCUUAAUUUGCCUGUGCUUCUAUUAUUUGAGAACAUAAACUACAAACUUCCUCCAUUCUAUCAU